rnacentral:lncRNA from 1 species
AAUUUUUCAAUUGUUUUUCUCAAUAGGAACAUUGUUGGUAUUUACAUAUUUAUUGCAUUGUUGAUAUAUGACUACUAGGUCAGCCUAUCUGCCAAAAAUUGGUUCGCAUAUGCAUCCCCUAAAUUUUCUAGGGUGAAUUCGGAGAUGCAUCUCUGAAAACUCCCCUGAAGUCAUUUACACAACGUUUUUCAUUGAAAUCG